UACGUAGGGGGCAAGCGUUGUCCGGAAUCAUUGGGCGUAAAGGGCGCGUAGGCGGCAAUUCAAGUCAGCUGUGAAAUCUCCGGGCUUAACUCGGAACGGUCAGCUGAUACUGUUUUGCUAGAGUGCAGAAGGGGCAAUCGGAAUUCUCGGUGUAGCGGUGAAAUGCGUAGAUAUCGAGAGGAACACCUGAGGUGAAGACGGGUUGCUGGGCUGACACUGACGCUGAUGCGCGAAAGCCAGGGUAGCAAACAGG
rnacentral:rRNA from 1 species